GUAGGGGCCGAAGCGUUAUCCGGAUUUAUUGGGCGUAAAGAGCUCGUAGGCGGCUUGGCAAGUCGGUCGUGAAAGUCCGAGGCUCAACCUCGGAAUGCCGGUCGAAACUGCCAUGGCUAGGGUUCGGUAGAGGAGAGUGGAAUUCUCGGUGUAGCGGUGAAAUGCGCAGAUAUCGAGAGGAACACCAGUAGCGAAGGCGGCUCUCUGGGCCGAUACCGACGCUGAGGAGCGAAAGCGUGGGGAAGCAAACAGGGAUUAGAUACCCUGGUAAGUCCACGCCGUAAACGGUGAUCACUAGGUGUGGCGGACUCAUUGACGUCUGCUGUGCCGGCGCUAACGGCAUUAAGUGAUCCCGCCUGGGGAGUACGGCCGCAAGGCUA
rnacentral:rRNA from 1 species